rnacentral:rRNA from 1 species
AUCAUUUCAUGAUAUUUUUCAACUUUGACCUCGAAUCAGGCGGGACUACCCGCUGAACUUAAGCAUAU